CGGGCCGCUGGCGCGCAUCGCGCGCGGCCUGCUCGGCCGCGGCCAUGGCUUCCAGCACGUGCUCGGCAUGUUCGAGAAAGGCCUGCCCGGCC
rnacentral:tRNA from 1 species